CAAUCCGUGUGCCGGAGCAUAAAGAUUGAAGUGUGCGCGGUUCCUCCUCCCUCCGGGCCGCGCGUCCGGAACGUUCCUGGCUGUCAGCGCUGUGCUAGCAGGAAGGUCUGUGAAGUUUGCAAUAAAGCCAUUAUGAAGUCAAGAAUGGAGGUUCCAUUUUUAAAGAACUCAGAGGGGGUAGAUCUUGAUUGACAUCUCAUCUGGGGUCACCUGGUCUUCAACUGAGAGAUCUUUUGGUUCGCCACGGAUGCCCCUUGCAGUUAUGGAAGUUCACUCUUUGAGAGAGAGAUAAAUAAACAUUAAAAUGUAAAGAAAAAAAAAAUCAGCAAUGGAAGGAAAAAGGAACAAAAAGCAAUCCAUUGGCGUCAAGCUUGACUGGACCACUCCACUGCUCUGCUGCCGUUAGUGAACCUGACCCUGCAGCAGGAGUCACAGACUCACCACUCACCUCAAGUCCUCACUCCCUGGACCCUCAAUCUACACAUCACUUUGUCUUUUAUUUCCCUGAGAAAUACAGGCCAUCAGUUUGCAGAUCCCUCCUUUCCCCUUACCCUGCAAAUCUCCAUCUAUUUGGAAAAGUGUGCCUCCUACAUUCCAAAGCUAACCCCUCCUCCUCUGCCACUAAUAUCAGCCCUACCUGCCUUCUUCUGUAACUUGCUCCAUUAAUUCCCUCCCCUCUCCCCCAGGUCUCCCUGCCUAUGAACAUAUUCAAGGACAUCAUAUCUUAAAAACAAACAAAUAUCAGGCACAAUGGCUCACACCUGUAAUCCCAGCACUUUGAGAGGUCAAGGCAGGAGAAUCACUUGAAUCCAGGGGUUCAAGACCAGCCUGGGAAACAUAGGGAGACCCUAUCUCUACAAAAAAUAUUUUUUAAAAAAAUUAGCCAGGUGUGGUGGUGUGCACCUGUAGUCCCAACUACUCAGAAGGCUGGGGUGGGAGAAAUAUUUCAGCCCAGGACGUCACUGUGCACAAUUGCUUUACUUUUUUUUCCCUUGGUAUAGACUUGUUGAAGAGUAAGCCUUCAUGUACUGUUUCCUCACUUUACAUUCACUCUCAACUGGAGACAAUAUAGAGUCUUCGCAGAUGCAGCUUUCUCCAGACCAACAAUGUGGUUAGACAUCUGGUUUUUCAUUGUUGUUGUUUGAUUUCUCUGACUAGCUUCCCUGACCAGAGGUCGUUUUGAGUUUCCUUCUCUGGAAUUUGACCACUGAGCAGAGACACAUAGGAGAGAAGACGUGAAUGCUGAGUCAUCAAUCAGCAUCACUGGGAAGAAAAAGCCUCUCAGUUUCUUCUGCUGGGACUCCCAGAGCUGGAGUAUUUUCUGCUCUUCCUAAGGCCUGGUAAUUCAGCUCUUUGUGAGACUGUGAGCUUUACCAUACCCUUCCAGUAGCAACCUUCUUCUUUUUUAAGUUCAUUGCGGGGAAUAGGGAGUGAUGGCUGAUGGACAUAGGGUUUCUUUUUGGGGUGACAAAAAUCUUCUAAAAUUAAGUGGUGGUGAUGGUUGCACAAUUUUGAAUAUACUAAAAACCGUGAAUUCUAAAGUUUAAACAGGUGAAUUCUGUGCUAUAUAAAUUGUAUCUCAAUGAAAUUACUAAUAUUCUAAAGCCUCCCAAGUGACUUAGAUGUUCGGUGAGUGUUGAAAGCCAGUUAUUUAUCACAUCCUUAAGUCCUGCUACCUUUCUCUCACUCUAAUCUCACCUUGUCACCCAGGCUGGAGUGCAAUGGCAUAAUCUCAGCUCACUGCAACCUCUGUCUCCCAGGCUCAAAUGAUUCUCCUGCCUCAGCCUCCUGAGUAGCUGGGAUUACAGGCGCCCAUGGACUACCAGCUUUUUAAGUAGACUUUUUAGCCAAAGGCCAAGGGAAACUACCCUCUUCCUACUGGGGUUCAAAUUGAUUAAAAUGGUUUGCUUUGACUUUUGUUGAAGUCUCUUUAUUUUCUUUUUAAGAUUAUGUUAAAUUAUAAUCCACAUUGGCUUUCUUUUUACAGGUAAACUUUUUCUCUUCUAGAUUUCUAGACGGCCUUCCCCCACUUCGCUUCUCUCUCUGCCAUUUUCCUCCCCUCUCCCGCCUCCCCAAGUUAGAAGAGGCUGACAAAAAGAGGCUCAUCAAAGUUAAAUGUUGCCAACAUAAAUUGGUCCCUCUUCUCUUCCUUGAUGUGACUGGUCUCUCAACCUAUUGAUGGCAUCCAGUUCCAACUUUCCUCUUCUCAUUUGGGACAUUGGGAGGAGAGUAGUCUCUAUUUUUAAUAACAAAGUAG
rnacentral:lncRNA from 10 species